CAAUGGCCCUAUCGAAGCUCAUCUUUGUCAACUCAUGACAUGUAUGAGUCAAAGUGGAGCCUAAAGCAAACCAUUUCUUUACGGUCGCUGUUUGACGGUUGUUUUCCACGUCUUGCAGCAUUACCAAAAGAUUUGACAUUA